ensembl:snoRNA SNORD42 Small nucleolar RNA SNORD42
UUCCACAUGAUGAGAAAAUCUUAAUUUAUUGAAAAUAAACGGCAAAGGAGCCACUAAUGAAA